GUAUGUAAUCAUACCAGAACCAAUGCAUCGGAUCCCAUCAAAAUUCCGAAGUUCAGCGCGCUUGGGCGAUCCUUCUUAAAGUUAAAACUCUUGGGACCUCCUCGUAUUACACCGC
rnacentral:rRNA from 1 species